GCAACUGCAAUGUUGAUGCUACUAUUAUACGUAAAGCUUUUACCAUCUCUACAACUGGAAUUUAUUACAGGAUGCUUAACCAACGCAAGGGCUGUAGCCUUUGCGAGCAAGGCUGUCAUGGUCACUCCCUUAGACUUGAUCUUCUUGUAAAGAGCAUCAAGUGCAUCGGUAGUAAUAGUGUAGCCAACUCUAAAAGUAGGAACUGCCAAGCUCUCCACCAUAUUCCUACUAACUGCACCCUGCAUUGUCGUAAAUGGCGCCACCGUCCCCAACACAAUCCCAGUUGGCGGAGUUACAGUUG
rnacentral:misc_RNA from 1 species